UGACAAUACCCAUCUAUAAUGACUGUAUAAGUUAUUUUAUUAGGUUGUAUAUUGUGUGAUAACAUUUCCUGCAAAAUGCUCCUUGCUUUAUCCAUCUGACCUAACUUACAAUAUCCACCUAUCAAUGCAGUAUAACAAACAACAUCAGGUAGAACUCCCUCCUUACGCAUCCCAUCAAUAAGGUUCUCAGCAUCUUCAAUAAGCCCAAUAUUGCUCAUGCCAUGUAUAAGAGAGGAAUAAGUGACAACAUUUG
rnacentral:misc_RNA from 1 species